CCUACGGCAGGCAGCAGUGGGGAAUUUUGGACAAUGGGCGCAAGCCUGAUCCAGCCAUUCCGCGUGAGUGAAGAAGGCCUUCGGGUUGUAAAGCUCUUUCGCAAGAGAAGAAAACUUACUUUCCAAUAAAGAGUGAGGUUGACGGUAUCUUGAUAAGAAGCACCGGCUAACUACGUGCCAGCAGCCGCGGUAAUACGUAGGGUGCGAGCGUUAAUCGGAAUUACUGGGCGUAAAGCGUGCGCAGGCUGUUUUGUAAGUCAGAUGUGAAAUCCCCGAGCUCAACUUGGGAACUGCGUUUGAAACUACAAGACUAGAAUAUGUCAGAGGGGGGUAGAAUUCCACGUGUAGCAGUGAAAUGCGUAGAGAUGUGGAGGAAUACCAAUGGCGAAGGCAGCCCCCUGGGAUAAUAUUGACGCUCAUGCACGAAAGCGUGGGGAGCAAACAGGAUUAGAUACCCUGGUAGUCCACGCCAUAAACCGAUGUCUACUAGUUGUUGGUGGAGUAAAAUCCAUGAGUAACGCAGCUAACGCGUGAAGUAGACCGCCUGGGGAGUACGGUCGCAAGAUUAAAACGUCAAAGGAAUUGACGG
rnacentral:rRNA from 1 species